rnacentral:lncRNA from 1 species
AUGUGCAAAACCAUAAUUUUAGGCAUAGUUGCUAUGUCUUUUAACUCUGUACUUGGACUUGAGUAGAGGAGACAGGUGCUCAAAGGCCAGCCAGCCUACAUAUAUUGUUAAGGAAUAGAUUCUAUCUGAAAAAGGAAGGAGGAGGAUGAUAAAGGAAGGCAUCUGACUUUGAAAGUUGACCUCCACAAGCACAUGUUUGGCAAGGUCACUUAAUUUAGAUAAGCCUGCUUAGGCAUAACUGCUCACCAAGCUGCCUUUUCCCCUCUCCAUUUACUUAAUUUGAGUCACAUUAAAGGAGAGGAAUAUUUUUUUGUUUGUUUGUUUGUAGUAUCUUGAAGACUAGGGUAUGGAAAUAAGGGUUACCAAUUCCUUCUAGUUUCUAGGAUGUUUGUCCCUACAGAGAUUGAUGGUUAAGUUCUGUUUUUCACUCACAGAUUUUUGGCUCCUUUAGGGUGAAGUAAACUCUAUUAACAACUUCUAGCAAUAUUUGUCUCUAUGUGUUUAACAUGUGUUGUUUCAGGUGACCAUUAGGUAAUGAGAGUGUGGUUCACUUAGCACUAUCUCCAAAACUGGUAUCUCCUCUCUCCUGCAGUAACACAGUCUGGAAGACUUUGUAGCAGUGUCUCUGCUACAUCUGAGCUUUUGACUGGAAUAGAAUGUCUUAUGGAGUGAUGCUUCCUGGAAGAAACAUCACAUGACUGCACUGUCUACUAUACCUCUGUGACUUUGAUGCAGCUCAUAGCACUGCCUUUAAAUUCCCAAAGAGAGAAAAAUAGUGUUCCUGAGAAAUAUCACCUUCGGGACGUCUUCACCCAUCUCAUGACCAUGGCUAUAUGUAAUCCAGUGGGGGCCUAACAAAGGCAUAUACAUUAUAUUGUAGAUAUUCUUGAAGCCCUUUGUCCUUUCACAAACUUCGAUGAGCAAGCCCUAGCUGACUGAAAAAGGAAUUUGUGUUCAACUUUUCACAUAAAUAUAGACGAGAAAACUUUAGUCUUGCCUUUUGACAGCUGCAAAAAUGAUAAAAUCACCUGGAAAAUCCCUCCAGUCUCAACAAUAUGUGUUUUGAAACCUAGCAUCUUUGCUGUCAAAUUCUUCAUUUCUUAUUAAAGCGGAAACUUACUCUUGGGAAUUAUACAAAGUCCCAGACAUUUCAUUCUUUCCUGUCUAUGAAAAGCUAAGGAAAAUCCAAUUUUACAG